AUGCUUACCUGGCAGAGGAGAUAACAUGAUCACAAAGGUGGUUUUUCAGAGCAAGGCUUAUCCAUUGUACUCGAGAUGUGUUGACCCCUGUGAUUUCCCCAAAUGUGGGAAACCCAACUGCAUAAUCUGUGAUAGUGGGGGACUGCAUUCAUGCUUUCCCCUG
ensembl:snRNA U1 U1 spliceosomal RNA